CGACAGAGAAAUAUUAGUUGGCAAUUUGGCACUACUAUCGAUAUUUUCACAUGAACGUCAACCAUAUGUUGUCAUGGAAUUUUAGGGCUCGAAUGAAGUCGGUGAAAUAGACCCAUCUCAAGGUCAUGACAAGUGAAGAUCGAUCUCAGGUAGCUAUCGAACUCGCAGAAUCAUCAUUAUUGGAAAAAAUACCGAAACUUAUGGCCCAAAGAUAGAAAUGAGCUCUUACUCUUAUAACGCGG
rnacentral:lncRNA from 1 species